UAAUGGUUCCUGAAAAGAUUAUUUCGUUCAGGAUGAAAAGGGAAUCCGGUGAGAAUCCGGAACAGUACCCGCUGCUGUAAGUCCCCCUUAAUGAUUAUCGUAUUUUUGCCACUGGUGUAGACACUGGGAAGGCGCGAUAAUUGGGACGAGUCAGAAGACCUGCCAUAACUA
rnacentral:ncRNA from 1 species